AAGAAAGUCCAAUUUUGGAAGAUACGGGAAAAUAACUCUUUCGAUUAAAAGUCUAUCAGAAUCAAUCACUCAUAUUCGAUUUCUAUAGAAGAGGGAGAUGCUUUAUCGAUCGAAGGAAAUAAGAAAAAAAAGGUAUGUUGCUACUCUUUUGAAAGAAAAAAAAAUAAGAAUUCCCGAACUAAUGUUUAAACCCAAGGAUUUCACAAAUCAAAGAUAAAGGAUUCCGGAACAAGUAAACACGAUUUUCAAUUGUCUCAACAAUAAUAAGGAAUAAAAGUGAAUUCGUUCGAGAUGAGGCAAAGAAAAGAGUUUAGAGACGACUCAAAAAAUUUCAAAGGAUUCUUUUUUCAAGUCUGUCAGUCAAAAUUAGUCAACUUGAGU
rnacentral:lncRNA from 1 species